rnacentral:rRNA from 1 species
CGCUGGCGGCGUGCCUAAUACAUGCAAGUCGAACGGUCUUUCUAUGGAAGCUUGCUUCCACUGAGAAGAUAGUGGCGAACGGGUGAGUAACACGUGGGUAACCUGCCCAUAAGAGGGGGGAUAACAUCCGGAAACGGGUGCUAAUACCGCAUAGUUUUCUUGAUCGCAUGAUCGGGAAAGGAAAGACGGCCUUUGUGCUGCCGCUUAUGGAUGGACCCGCGGCGUAUUAGUUAGUUGGUGAGGUAACGGCUCACCAAGACGAUGAUACGUAGCCGACCUGAGAGGGUGAUCGGCCACAUUGGGACUGAGACACGGCCCAAACUCCUACGGGAGGCAGCAGUAGGGAAUCUUCCGCAAUGGACGAAAGUCUGACGGAGCAACGCCGCGUGAGUGAAGAAAGGUUUUCGGAUCGUAAAACUCUGUUGUCAGAGAAGAACAAGUUGGAGAGUAACUGCUCCAGCCUUGACGGUAUCUGACCAGAAAGCCACGGCUAACUACGUGCCAGCAGCGGC